UGGUUUUUUUGUUCAGUAUUUAUACUAUCAAAGUGCUUGCUCAUUUGAGGUUGCACGUUUAUAUAAUUGUGUAAUGGUAUGUUUGUCAAACAACUGAACUGUUUGAAUUGUUAUGCUCAUCUUGCAAUGAUUCUUUAUGGGGAUAAGGUCUCUGAUUCAAUAAAGUGAGAGUAGAAUUCAGAAUUGAUUGGUUUGUGGGAGCAAAGAUCAACAAUCUGACUAUCAAUUGGAACCAUUACAUCUUGGAAGGGAAGGCAAUGGUGUUAUUGAUAUUACUACUAAAUGGGGAAAAGCGUGAGUAUAAUAUUAACCAACUCAAAGUUAUUUCACAGGAAUUCAGAUAUCAAAUGUUAGUUGGAUGAGCAUUAGAGAGCUUAGAAUUAUUGGGGAGAUGUGGAGGGAGUGCUACCAGUCUUGAUGACCAAGUUUAGCAUCAGUAGUGGUAGGUUCAUGCAACAAUCAUGCAUGGUGGAGCUUACAGAUAUCUCCUUUAUUUAAAGUCCGUGAAAAGUGUGGCUAGCCAUGAAGACCAUGGACAGUCAAGGAGGAGCCAAUUUCUUUAACAUAGAUUCAUGAUGCUUUAUUAGUUUGGACUAAAUGAGCAUCAUUUCAGAGUUUAAUUGUGCUUGCUAAGAGAUAACAGCACCAUAAUCCAUUAGGAUCCGUUUGUUAGAUGGUGGACACCAGAGCAAGUGUAUUAUUUU
rnacentral:lncRNA from 1 species